UACGUAGGGGGCAAGCGUUGUCCGGAAUCAUUGGGCGUAAAGAGCGUGUAGGCGGCUCGAUAAGUCUGCUGUGAAAGUCCAGGGCUCAACCCUGGAAGGCCGGUGGAAACUGUCGGGCUAGAGUCCGGAAGAGGCGAGUGGAAUUCCCGGUGUAGCGGUGAAAUGCGCAGAUAUCGGGAGGAACACCAAUGGCGAAGGCAGCUCGCUGGGACGGUACUGACGCUGAGACGCGAAAAGCGUGGGGAGCGAACAGG
rnacentral:rRNA from 1 species